GCUGCAUAUGUAGGCGUACCAGUAGUCCCAUCUACCAGGAAGGCUGAGGCAGGAGGAUCACUUGAGCCUAGGAGUUCUGGACUGUAGUGCUGAUUGGGUGUCCUAAGUUCCGAUUCAAUAUGGUGACAUUCUGGGAAUGGGGACCCUAGGUUGCCUAAAGAGGGGUGAACUGGCUCAGGUUGGAAAUGGAGCAGCUCAAAACUCCUGUACUAAUCAGUAGUGGUAUACCCUGUGCUAAUCAGUAGUGGUAUAUCCGAUGCUAAUCCAGUAGUGGUACAUCCCUUGC
ensembl:misc_RNA Metazoa_SRP Metazoan signal recognition particle RNA